ACAGCAAUCUCAUAACCGUGGCUCAGUUCAGAUCGUAGGCUGCAACUCGCCUACGUGAAGGAGGAAUCGCUAGUAAUCGCAGGUCAGCAUACUGCGGUGAAUACGUUCCCGGGCCUUGUACACACCGCCCGUCACACCAUGGAAGUUGGCCACGCCCGAAGCCGUUACUCCAACCCUUGUGGAGGAGGACGUCGAAGGUGGGGCUGAUGACUGGGGUGAAGUCGUAACAAGGUAGCCGUACCGGAAGGUGCGGCUGGAUCACCUCCUAA
rnacentral:rRNA from 1 species